rnacentral:rRNA from 1 species
CCUACGGGUGACAGCAGUCGAGAAUCAUUCACAAUGGGGGAAACCCUGAUGGUGCGACGCCGCGUGGGGGAAUGAAGGUCUUCGGAUUGUAAACCCCUGUCAUGUGGGAGCAAAUUAAAAAGAUAGUACCACAAGAGGAAGAGACGGCUAACGCUGUGCCAGCAGCCGCGGUAAUACAGAGGUCUCAAGCGUUGUUCGGAAUCACUGGGCGUAAGGCGUGCGUAGGCUGUUUCGUAAGUCGUGUGUGAAAGGCGCGGGCUCAACCCGCGGACGGCACAUGAUACUGCGAGACUAGAGUAAUGGAGGGGGAAGCGGAAUUCUCGGUGUAGCAGUGAAAUGCGUAGAUAUCGAGAGGAACACUCGUGGCGAAGGCGGGUUCCUGGACAUUAACUGACGCUGAGGCACGAAGGCCAGGGGAGCGAAAGGGAUUAGAUACCCUGGUAGUC